GGAGAGGGAGAGGAUGGAAGAGAAGAGCAAGGAGAAAGACAAGAGCGGGAAAAACUGGCCUAAGCGGAUUCUUAAUGGCCUAAUGGAUUCCAAAAAUUUCUCCGAAUAAGAAAAAGUCAAGCAAAUUCAAGAGAAUAGCAACCCUGAGUGAGGAAAAAUAACUUAAAAGGUGCUAGAAUGCACGCCACUUAAAAACACCUAAGCAUUUCAGAGGAACUCACAGAAAGGAUAACUGCAAAACAGAGAGGCUGGGGCCGUGGAAAGUGAGGAGGAGAAAGGCCUCCGGCAAACCAGAAAGUGAAAAACUGCUCAAAAUUCAACUGGUACCCAAAUUACAGUGCCUCCUGCUCA